UGGAAGCUUCAAAAGCUGGAUUUUUUAUUACGUUUAAUUAAAUUUGUGCUUUUUUGUUAAAUGUUCUAAUUUUGGAUAUUUAACAAAAAUUUUCGAAAAAUUUAAUAAUUAUAAAUAACAUGAAUUUAAAAUGAGAUAAAGUAGAUAUUUAUCAAAGCCAUAUGUCAGUUCUCAUAAUACAGUGCGGAUAAACACGGAAACGUGAAACUCUUUUCUCCAUUACUCUAGUACUAUUUUAGUUUGGCUGCAAAUAGAAAAAGGGGACAGACAUGCUCAUGAUAAAAAUAAUAGCAUCAAUUAGUAAUACUUUAUUAAAUUUUAAAAACCGAAAGCAAAACAUAAAUUUGAAAAUGCGAAAGAACCCCGUUUAUUUUCUGUUGUCCUGCAAUAUUCGGCCCGACUUCAACGAACACGGUAUAUUCAACCAGAAAACUGACUGAAUCUUGUUGACUGGAUCUUGUUCAAAGCACAAAUGUGGUAAGAUCAAAAAUAGUGUGUCUUUUCAUCUUUUCUCGAUUCUAGAGUUUCGCACCAAAAUAGUACAGGCUUAUACAAUUACUAUAACAUAUUCAAUAUAUUGCUAUCGGUUUUACCUACAUUAGAAAUGCUACUUUGCUUGAAAGUGUCUAAAUGUAUUGAUUGAAUGCAAAGAAUAAAUGUACUCGUAUUAUAAGAAAAAUUCGUUAUUACUAUAACUUUUUUGAUGUUUUUUUAAAGUAAAGUUUAGACAGUUUAUUAGAUAUGAGGUUGUAUUUGUUUCUAACAUUGGCCGAUAUAAAGGAAGCAACUCAAUGAAGCCACCUUUUUAUGUUCCAAACAUACUGAGUUAUUUAUUUCAAAUAUUUAUUUUUUCUACUUUUUUUUUACUUAGCACCAUAAUUUUCAAUCAAAAAUUCUUAUGUCAUAAUAGAUAUUUUAAAAAGUCAAUAGGAUUUUUGUUUAUUCAAAUCUCUAUUUUUUGAUGGCAUUAAAAAUAUGUAUAUACAUUAAUAUGUUGCAGCUGUAAAUACCGUUACAUAAAAAUACAUGUGAAUAAGUUCAACAGAAUUAUGAAAAAUUAACCUUAAAAGAAACUUUUCGAACGUACAUAGAAAGGUUAAUACUAUUUGUAGUUUAAUCACUAUCACUAUGACCUAAAUAAUGUAACAUAAAUUAAGCAAGUAAGAAAAGUUGCGAAAGAAAUCAACAUUCGACGAAACUGAAUGGUUUACAAUCAAAUUUGAAUCUUAUCAACUUAUUUUAUUGGUAAUAGAUUCAAUUAGUUUUAUAAGUAUGUUUUUCCCAAUAUAUCUGGCAUAAACCCAA